AUCUCGCUGGUGUAGUGGUAGAAGCACGCGUCCCCGGUAUGGAUAAAACGCAGGUGUUCGAUUCCCGCUCGAGGCC